GUGUGCUAGAUGGGGAGUUAGCGGUGCCCUGUAACCCGGAACCCGCUAUACCGGGAUUGAAUUCCCACCCGAGGGUUAUGCGACCGAUUGUAUUCGAUGCUUAAGUGGUGUUGAUGGUCGGGUCCUGUACAACAAGAGCCUAUGAACCCGGUCAGGACCGGAAGGUAGCAGCCGUAAGUAGUUACUGUUGUGUGUUGCAGGGUCACCCGAUCUGAGCUAACUGGGCGGAGGAUCUUUUGGUUAGCGAUUCGGAGGUGGGUGCACAA
rnacentral:SRP_RNA from 1 species